rnacentral:rRNA from 1 species
GACGAACGCUGGCGGCGUGCUUAACACAUGCAAGUCGAACGGAAAGGCCCCUUUGGGGGUACUCGAGUGGCGAACGGGUGAGUAACACGUGAGUAACCUGCCCUUGACUUCGGGAUAACUUCAGGAAACUGGGGCUAAUACCGGAUAGGAAUCCUUGCUGCAUGGUGGGGGUUGGAAAGCUUCGGCGGUUUUGGAUGGACUCGCGGCUUAUCAGCUUGUUGGUGGGGUAGUGGCUUACCAAGGCUUUGACGGGUAGCCGGCCUGAGAGGGCGACCGGCCACAUUGGGACUGAGAUACGGCCCAGACUCCUACGGGAGGCAGCAGUGGGGAAUAUUGCACAAUGGGCGGAAGCCUGAUGCAGCAACGCCGCGGGCGGGAUGACGGCCUUCGGGUUGUAAACCGCUUUCAGCAGGGGCGAAGCUUGUGGUGACGGUACCUGCAGAAGAAGCACCGGCUAACUAAGUG